AACGAACGCUGGCGGUAUGCCUAACACAUGCAAGUCGACCGAGACCUUCGGGUCUAGUGGCGCACGGGUGCGUAACGAAUGGGAAUGUGCCCUUGGGUUCGGAAUAACAGUUAGAAAUGACUGCUAAUAACGGAUGAUGACGGAAGUCCAAAGAUUUAAAGCCCAAGGAGGAGCACGCGUAGGAUUAGCUUGUGAGGCAGGGAAAAGCUCACAAAGGCGACGAUCCUUAGCUGGGCUGAGAGGCUGACCAGCCACAUGUGGACCGAGGACACGGCCCAAACUCCUACGGGAGGCAGCAGUGGGGAAUCGUGCGAAAUGGGCGAAAGCCUGACGCAGCCAUGCCGCGUGGAUGAUGAAGGUCUUAGGAUUGUACAAUCCUUUCACCGGUGAAGAUAAUGACUGUAGCCGGAGAAGAAGCCCCGGCUAACUUCGUGCCAGCCGCCGCCGUAAGAC
rnacentral:rRNA from 1 species